rnacentral:tRNA from 1 species
GGAGACAUGGCGUAAUCGGUAUCGCAACGGUUUGCUACACCGUCUGACCUCGACAACGCGGUCAUGAGAGUUCGAGUCUCUCUGUCUCCG